UGAAAUUGUAGGACAAGGCCCGGCGCCGAGCAAAGACUAUUACCAGUUGUUGAUCACCCGAACUCAGAUCAUCUUUAGAUGGUGGAAGAUUUCCCUGAGAAGUGAGUAUCGGUCAGCAAAACCUGGAGAGACAAAGGAAACUCACGAAGACUUCCUAGAUAACUCUCAUCUUCAAGCUGUGCAAGAGUGACUCGCUGUGGGAGCAGAUAGUCCAGUCCACCUAUGACACCAUCACCCCUGACAUGCGGGCCCUGGCGAAUGACGUGGGCUGGAGACAGAUGUUCUUCACCAACAAGAUCCAGC
rnacentral:lncRNA from 1 species